rnacentral:rRNA from 1 species
GAUAAACGCUGGCGGCGUGCUUAACACAUGCAAGUCGAACGGACUGAUGAGAGAGCUUGCUCUUUCUGAAAGUUAGUGGCGGACGGGUGAGUAACGCGUGGGAAACCUGCCUUACACUGGGGGAUAACAGAUGGAAACGCCUGUUAAUACCGCAUAAGCGCACGGUGCUGCAUGGCACCGUGUGAAAAACUCCGGUGGUGUAAGAUGGUCCCGCGUCUGAUUAGCUAGUUGGUGAGUAACGGCCCACCAAGGCGACGAUCAGUAGCCGGCUGAGAGGGCGUACGGCCACAUUGGGACUGAGACACGGCCCAAAACUCCUACGGGAGCAGCAGUGGGGAAUAUUGCACAAUGGAGGAAACUCUGAUGCAGCGACGCCGCGUGAGUGAAGAAGUAUCUCGGUAUGUAAAACUCUAUCAGCAGGGAAGAUAAAUGACGGUACCUGACUAAGAAG